GAUGAACGCUGGCGGCGUGCCUAAUACAUGCAAGUCGAGCGAACAGACGAGGAGCUUGCUCCUCUGACGUUAGCGGCGGACGGGUGAGUAACACGUGGAUAACCUACCUAUAAGACUGGGAUAACUUCGGGAAACCGGAGCUAAUACCGGAUAAUAUAUUGAACCGCAUGGUUCAAUAGUGAAAGACGGUUUUGCUGUCACUUAUAGAUGGAUCCGCGCCGCAUUAGCUAGUUGGUAAGGUAACGGCUUACCAAGGCGACGAGGCGUAGCCGACCUGAGAGGGUGAUCGGCCACACUGGAACUGAGACACGGUCCAGACUCCUACGGGAGGCAGCAGUAGGGAAUCUUCCGCAAUGGGCGAAAGCCUGACGGAGCAACGCCGCGUGAGUGAUGAAGGUCUUCGGAUCGUAAAACUCUGUUAUUAGGGAAGAACAAAUGUGUAAGUAACUAUGCACGUCUUGACGGUACCUAAUCAGAAAGCCACGGCUAACUACGUG
rnacentral:rRNA from 1 species